GACGAACGCUGGCGGCGUGCCUAAUACAUGCAAGUCGAACGCAGUGGGGACGGGUGAGUAACACGUGGGUAACCUCCCAUCAGAGGGGAUAACACUUGGAAACAGGUGCUAAACUGAUACUGAUGGAUGGACCCGCGGUGCAUUAGCUAGUUGGUGAGGUAACGGCUCACCAAGGCCACGAUGCAUAGCCGGCCUGAGAGGAGGAUCGGCCACACUGGGACUGAGACACGGCCCAGACUCCUACGGGAGGCAGCAGUAGGGAAUAUUCGGCAAUGGGCGAAAGUCUGACCGAGCAAUGCCGCGUGAGUGAAGAAGGUUUUCGGAUCGUAAAGCUCUGUUGUUAGAGAAGCGGUAUCUAACCAGAAAGCAACGGCUAACUACGUGCCAGCCGCCGCGGUAAUUC
rnacentral:rRNA from 1 species